GUGGGGAAUCUUGCGCAAUGGGCGAAAGCCUGACGCAGCCAUGCCGCGUGGAUGAUGAAGGUCUUAGGAUUGUAAAAUCCUUUCACCGGUGAAGAUAAUGACUGUAGCCGGAGAAGAAGCCCCGGCUAACUUCGUGCCAGCAGCCGCGGUAAUACGAAGGGGGCUAGCGUUGCUCGGAUUUACUGGGCGUAAAGGGCGCGUAGGCGGACAUUUAAGUCAGGGGUGAAAUCCCGGGGCUCAACCUCGGAACUGCCUUUGAUACUGGGUGUCUUGAGUAUGAGAGAGGUGUGUGGAACUCCGAGUGUAGAGGUGAAAUUCGUAGAUAUUCGGAAGAACACCAGUGGCGAAGGCGACACACUGGCUCAUUACUGACGCUGAGGCGCGAAAGCGUGGGGAGCAAACAGGAUUAGAUACCCCGGUAGUCCC
rnacentral:rRNA from 1 species